UACGGGGGGAGCAAGCGUUGUUCGGAUUCACUGGGCGUAAAGGGUGCGUAGGCGGUUGGGUAAGUCUGUCGUGAAAUCUCCGAGCCUAACUCGGAAACUGCGUCGGAUACUAUUCAACUCGAGGAAUGGAGGGGAGACUGGAAUUCUCGGUGUAGCAGUGAAAUGCGUAGAUAUCGAGAGGAACACCAGUGGCGAAGGCGAGUCUCUGGACAUUUCCUGACGCUGAGGCACGAAAGCCAGGGGAGCAAACGGG
rnacentral:rRNA from 1 species